rnacentral:rRNA from 1 species
UUGCCUGAGGGUGCAGUCCUCGGGGCCAACCUCCCACCCGUGUUGCCCGAACCUAUGUUGCCUCGGCGGGCCCCGCGCCCGCCGACGGCCCCCCUGAACGCUGUCUGAAGUUGCAGUCUGAGACCUAUAACGAAAUUAGUUAAAACUUUCAACAACGGAUCUCUUGGUUCCGGCAUCGAUGAAGAACGCAGCGAAAUGCGAUAACUAAUGUGAAUUGCAGAAUUCAGUGAAUCAUCGAGUCUUUGAACGCACAUUGCGCCCUCUGGUAUUCCGGAGGGCAUGCCUGUCCGAGCGUCAUUGCUGCCCUCAAGCCCGGCUUGUGUGUUGGGCCCCGUCCCCCCCGCCGGGGGGACGGGCCCGAAAGGCAGCGGCGGCACCGCGUCCGGUCCUCGAGCGUAUGGGGCUUCGUCACCCGCUCUAGUAGGCCCGGCCGGCGCCAGCCGACCCCCAACCUUUAAUUAUCUCAGGUUGACCUCGGAUCAGGUAGGGAUACCCGCUGAACUUAAGCUAUCUAAAAAAGGAAAAGAAACGGAGUGCGGGC